rnacentral:rRNA from 1 species
UGGGGAAUUGUUCACAAUGGGCGCAAGCCUGAUGACGCAACGCCGCGUGGGGGAUGAAGGUCUUCGGAUUGUAAACCCCUGUCGAAUGGGACGAAAGACUCGCGAGUUAAUACUUCGCGGGAGUGACGGUACCGUUAAAGGAAGCCACGGCUAACUCUGUGCCAGCAGCCGCGGUAAUACAGAGGUGGCAAGCGUUGUUCGGAAUUACUGGGCGUAAAGGGCGCGUAGGCGGCCUACUAAGUCAGACGUGAAAUCCCCCGGCUUAACCUGGGAACUGCGUCUGAUACUGGAGGGCUUGAGUAUGGGAGAGGGAUGUAGAAUUCCAGGUGUAGCGGUGAAAUGCGUAGAUAUCUGGAGGAAUACCGGUGGCGAAGGCGGCAUCCUGGACCAUUACUGACGCUGAGGCGCGAAAGCUAGGGGAGCAAACGGGAUUAGAUACCCCCGUAGUCCCUGAGCGGGCUGGCAAGGCGCAU